GUCUUUUUGUUUAAAAUUUAAAGUCUAACCUGCCCAAUGAUUAUUUUAAUGGCUGCGGUAUUUUGACUGUACAAAGGUAGCAUAAUCAUUAGUUUUUUAAUUGAAAACUUGUAUGAAUGGUUGAACGAGAAAAUUACUGUCUCAAUUUAAAUUUAUUAGAAUUUUAUUUUUAAGUUAAAAAGCUUAAAUAAAAUUAAAAGACGAGAAGACCCUAUAGAGUUUAAUAUUUAUUUAAAAUUAAUUUUAAGAAUUUUUAAUUUUUAAAUAAAUAUUUUAUUGGGGUGAUAAAUAAAUUUAAUUAACUUUAUUAAAUUUAAAUCAUUAAUUUAUGAGUUAUUGAUCCAAUAUUUUUGAUUAAAAGAUUAAAUUACCUUAGGGAUAACAGCGUAAUUUUUUUUGAGAGUUCUUAUCGAAAAAAAAGAUUGCGACCUCGAUGUUGGAUUAAAAUUAAUUUUUGGUGUAGAAGCUAUAAUAUUAAGUCUGUUCGACUUUUAAUUUUUUACAUGAUCUGAGUUUAAAUCGGCGUGAGCCAGAUUGGUUUCUAUCUUUAUUAAAUUAAAAUAUUUUAGUACGAAAGGACCAAAUAUUGAUAAAAUUUAUUUUAUUUUGAAUUU
rnacentral:rRNA from 1 species